ACAUGUGACCGGUGCUGGGCCUUAACGGAGUAAGGGGAAAUGAAAGGGCAGACGAUUUGGCGGUGAAGGCCCGAGGACUGCCGUCAAUAAACUUGGUUAACCCGAAGCCUUUCGGGAAACGCAGUCCGACUUAAGGAGUGGGCGACGAAUGCACAUGCAACAGAGAAACGAUCGGUAGGACGACGAAAAUCCUAUGGUGGGAUCCAGAUCUUGAGAAGACGAGCCUAUUACUGAAAGGAAGUAAGAAGUAGGUCAGUAUAGCUAUUGGUAUCAUAACGGGACACAUAGGACUACGAGCUCACUUAUGUGAAAUCGGUGCGGCAAGUGAUAGAAUGUAUGGGGCAUGCGGGGAAGAUGAUGAGAUGUUGGAGCAUUUCCUUUAUCAUUGCCCGGCUUUCGCGUCUAACAGAUAUCGGCACUUAGGUGGAGACACAAUACCAGACAUGAACCAACUUAGGAGAGUGGUAUUGAAAACAAUUAAGGAUUUUUUUUUAGAGCGCACAACAAGCCGAUUACUGUCAUAGUGACAUGAGGCGGAUUAAUACCUGCACCUUCUUUUCAACCUAACCUAACCUAAGUACAUGUAAGCAAUAUCACUAAUAUUAACAAACACUUCGUUACAAUUAGAAGUUUGGUUGGUGAUCGCAUUAAUCUUACGUAAGAAACGACUUGUUUCGCAGCGACAAUGGUUGUGCUCUUUUUGGGAGUCGUGAAAUGUAAAUUUCCCCUUUAUGAAUAAACAAGUUAUAGCGAAACGAACACUUUUCAUCAAUA